rnacentral:rRNA from 1 species
UACGUAGGUGGCUAGCGUUGUCCGGAUUUACUGGGCGUAAAGAGCGCGCAGGCGGUCGUUCAAGUCGAGUGUGAAAGCCCCCGGCUCAACUGGGGAGGGUCACUCGAUACUGAUCGACUUGAAGGCGGGAGAGGGAAGCGGAAUUCCCGGUGUAGUGGUGAAAUGCGUAGAUAUCGGGAGGAACACCAGUGGCGAAGGCGGCUUUCUGGGCCGUUCUUGACGCUGAGGCGCGAAAGCUAGGGGAGCAAACGGG